rnacentral:rRNA from 1 species
UUUUGCCGAGGUAGUGUCCAUCAUGCUUGUCUUAAAGAUUAAGCCAUGCAUGUCUAAGUAUAAGCAACAAUACAGUAAAACUGCAAAUGGCUCAUUACAACAGUUAUAGUUUCUUUGAUAACAAACGUUUACAUGGAUAACCGUAGUAAUUCUAGAGCUAAUACAUGAGCACAUUCUCAACUGUUUUAGAAGAGAAGCAUUUAUUAGAUAAAAAACCAAUAUAUGUUUCUAAGCAUAAAAGUUGGUGACUUACAAUAACUAAGCAAAUCGCACAGUGCAAACUGGCGAUAAGUCAUUCAAGUUUCUGACCUAUCAGCUUUCGACGGUAUGGUAUUGGCUUACCGUGGCAGUGACGGUUAACGGGGGAUUAGGGUUCGAUUCCGGAGAGGGAGCCUGAGAAACGGCUACCACAUCUAAGGAAGGCAGCAGGCGCGCAAAUUACCCAAUUCUAACAGCAUAAGAGAGGUAGUGACAAGAAAUAACAGUACAAGGCAGUUAAAAUGCUUUGUAAUUGGAAUGAUAGAAAUUUAAAUACUUUUUAAAGUAUCAAUUGGAGGGCAAGUCUGGUGCCAGCAGCCGCGGUAAUUCCAGCUCCAAUAGCGUAUAUUAAAAUUGUUGCAGUUAAAAAGCUCGUAGUUGAAUUUCUGCUAAAAAUAACCGGUCUGCUUUUAUUAAUAAAAGUGGUAUCUUGGUGUGUUUUUAGCAAUAAUGUCCUUUGAAUUGUUUUUUACUUUAUUGUUAAAAGCAAAUUUUAGGAUUUUUACUUUGAGAAAAUUAGAGUGUUUCAAGCAGGCUAACGUUUUGAAUACUGCAGCAUGGAAUAAUAAAAUAGGAUUUUUAGUUCUACGUUAUUGGUUUUUAAGAACUAAAUUAAUGAUUGAUAGGGGCAGUUGGGGGGCAUUUGUAUUUAACUGUCAGAGUUGAAUCCCCCUCGUAUAUAGAAUUUGGAGA